UACGUAGGGUCCAAGCGUUAUCCGGAAUCACUGGGCGUAAAGCGUGCGUAGGCGGGUGUUUAAGUGAGAUGCGAAAUCCUGUGGCUCAACCAUAUGGACUGUAUCUCAUACUGGAUACCUUGAGGAUGGCAGAGGCUAGUGGAAUUACGGGUGUAGCAGUGAAAUGCGUAGAGAUCCGUAGGAACACCAAUGGCGAAGGCAGCUAGCUGGGCCAUUUCUGACGCUAAGUCACGAAAGCGUGGGGAGCGAACAGGAUUAGAAACCCCAGUAGUCC
rnacentral:rRNA from 1 species